GCUGGGCAUAGUGGCCCACACCUGUAAUCCCAGCUGCGUGGGAGGCUGAGUCAGGAGGAUUGAGAGUUCAAAACCAGACUCAGCAACGGUGAGAUGCUAAGCAACUCAGUGAGACCCUGUCUCUA
rnacentral:sRNA from 1 species